GACGAACCUUGCUAACGUUAUUCGGAAUUACUGGGCGUAAAGGGCUCGUAGGCGGCCAACUAAGUCAGACGUGAAAUCCCUCAGCUUAACUGGGGAACUGCGUCUGAUACUGGAUGGCUUGGAUUUGGGAGAGGGAUGCGGAAUUCCAGGUGUAGCGGUGAAAUGCGUAGAUAUCUGGAGGAACACCGGUGGCGAAGGCGGCAUCCUGGACCAAUAUUGACGCUGAGGAGCGAAAAGCCAGGGGAGCAAAGCGGG
rnacentral:rRNA from 1 species